CCCUAAACCUAAAUAAUAAGAUACGAAUAUUAUCCGCCAGGGGACUACAAGCGCUAGCUUAAAACCCAAAGGACUUGGCGGUGUCCCAAACCCACCUAGAGGAGCCUGUUCUAGAACCGAUACUCCCCGUUAAACCUCACCACUUCUUGUCAAUCCCGCCUAUAUACCGCCGUCGCCAGCUUACCCUGUGAAGGAAAAACAGUAAGCAAAGAGGGAACACCCCAAAACGUCAGGUCGAGGUGUAGCGUACGAAGUGGGAAGAAAUGGGCUACAUUUUCUAUAUCAGAACAUAACGAACAACACCAUGAAACUGGUAUUUUAAGGUGGAUUUAGCAGUAAAAAGAAAAUAGAGAGUUCUUUUGAAGUUGGCUCUGGGACGCGCACACACCGCCCGUCACUCUCCUCGAACAUAACCAUUUAACUUAAUAAGCAACAAACCAAAACAAGAGGAGGCAAGUCGUAACAUGGUAAGUGUACCGGAAGGUGCACUUGGAAUAAC
rnacentral:rRNA from 1 species